rnacentral:rRNA from 1 species
GAGUUUGAUCGUGGCUCAGGAUGAACGCUAGCUACAGGCUUAACACAUGCAAGUCGAGGGGCAGCAUGAACUUAGCUUGCUAAGUUUGAUGGCGACCGGCGCACGGGUGAGUAACACGUAUCCAACCUGACCGAUGACUCGGGGAUAGCCUUUCGAAAGAAAGAUUAAUACCCGAUGGCAUAGUUCUUCCGCAUGGUAGGACUAUUAAAGAAUUUCGGUCAUCGAUGGGGAUGCGUUCCAUUAGCUUGUUGGCGGGGUAACGGCCCACCAAGGCAUCGAUGGAUAGGGGUUCUGAGAGG